rnacentral:rRNA from 4 species
AAAUUGAAGAGUUUGAUCAUGGCUCAGAUUGAACGCUGGCGGCAGGCCUAACACAUGCAAGUCGAACGGUAACAGGAAGCAGCUUGCUGCUUUGCUGACGAGUGGCGGACGGGUGAGUAAUGUCUGGGAAACUGCCUGAUGGAGGG